rnacentral:rRNA from 1 species
GGGGAAUAUUGCACAAUGGGCGAAAGCCUGAUGCAGCGACGCCGCGUGAGGGAUGACGGCCUUCGGGUUGUAAACCUCUUUCAGUAGGGAAGAAGCGAAAGUGACGGUACCUGCAGAAGAAGCGCCGGCUAACUACGUGCCAGCAGCCGCGGUAAUACGUAGGGCGCAAGCGUUAUCCGGAAUUAUUGGGCGUAAAGAGCUCGUAGGCGGUUUGUCGCGUCUAUCGUGAAAGUCCGAGGCUCAACCUCGGAUCUGCGGUGGGUACGGGCAGACUAGAGUGAUGUAGGGGAGACUGGAAUUCCUGGUGUAGCGGUGAAAUGCGCAGAUAUCAGGAGGAACACCGAUGGCGAAGGCGGGUCUCUGGGCCGAAACUGACGCUGAGGAGCGAAAGCGUGGGGAGCGAAC